rnacentral:miRNA from 1 species
UGAACUUUACCAUGGAACCGGG